rnacentral:rRNA from 1 species
CGUGUUGGACCGACCUCUGCUUGACCGGUGGUGCCGCCAGGCGCAUCGCCGGGUAUCUAAGUCGGGAUCGGAUAAGCGCUGAAAGCAUCUAAGUGCGAAGCCGGCCACAAGAUUAGAUUUCUCAGGGUCGUUGUAGACUACGACGUUGAUAGGAUGCAGGUGUAAAGGUAGAGAUACCAAAGCCGAGCAUUACUAAUUGCCCGUUCACUUUCCUUA